rnacentral:rRNA from 1 species
UACGGAAGGCAGCAGGGGGGAAUAUUGCACAAUGGGCGCAAGCCUGAUGCAGCCAUGCCGCGUGUAUGAAGAAGGCCUUCGGGUUGUAAAGUACUUUCAGUCGUGAGGAAGGUGUUAAGGUUAAUAACCUUAGCAAUUGACGUUAGCGACAGAAGAAGCACCGGCUAACUCCGUGCCAGCAGCCGCGGUAAUACGGAGGGUGCGAGCGUUAAUCGGAAUUACUGGGCGUAAAGGGCACGCAGGCGGUUAAUUAAGUUGGAUGUGAAAUCCCCCGGGCUUAACCUGGGAAUGGCAUUCAAGCUGGUUAGCUAGAGUCUUGUAGAGGGGGUAGAAUUCCAUGUGUAGCGGUGAAAUGCGUAGAGAUGUGGAGGAAUACCGGUGGCGAAGGCGGCCCCUGGACAAAGACUGACGCUCAUGUGCGAAAGCGUGGGGAGCAAACAGGGAUUAGAUACC